rnacentral:rRNA from 1 species
AACGAACGCUGGCGGCGUGGAUAAGACAUGCAAGUCUAACGGGACAUUUUUAGUAGUCAUCUUAGAGAUGUUCAGUGGCGAACGGGUGCGUAACACGUGGAUACAUUCCGGAAAGCGGGGGAUAGCCCAUGGAAACUUGGCUUAAUACCGCAUGUGGUCGCAAGACUAAAGACGGGGAUCGCACGACCUGUCACUUUCCGAUUGGUCCGCGGCCUAUCCGCGAGUUGGCGGGGUAAAAGCCCACCAAGGCGACGACGGGUAGCUGGUCUUAGAGGACGACCAGCCACACUGGAACUGAGACACGGUCUAGACACCUACGGGUGGCAGCAGUCGAGAAUCUUUCACAAUGGGGGCAACCCUGAUGGAGCGACGCCGCGUGGAGGAGAAGGUCUUCGGAUUGUAAACUCCUGUCAUGCGAGAACAAGGUUGCAGGGCUAAUACCCGUGCAAAUUGAUGGUACCGCAAGAGGAAGAGACGGCUAACUCUGUGCCAGCAGCCGCGGUAAGAC